AUACGUAGGGUGCAAGCGUUAAUCGGAAUUACUGGGCGUAAAGCGUGCGCAGGCGGUUUUGUAAGACAGAGGUGAAAUCCCCGGGCCCAACCUGGGAACUGCCUUUGUGACUGCAAAGCUAGAGUACCGCAGAGGGGGAUGGAAUUUCGCGUGUAGCAGUGAAAUGCGUAGAUAUGCGGAGGAACACCGAUGGCGAAGGCAAUCCCCUGGGCCUGUACUGACGCUCAUGCACGAAAGCGUGGGGAGCAAACAGGAUUAGAUACCCUGGUAGUCCACGCCCUAAACGAUGUCAACUGGUUGUUGGGUCUUCAUUGACUCAGUAACGAAGCUAACGCGUGAAGUUGACCGCCUGGGGAGUACGGCCGCAAGGUUGAAACUCAAAUGAAUUGACGGGG
rnacentral:rRNA from 1 species